UACGGAGGGGGCUAGCGUUGUUCGGAAUUACUGGGCGUAAAGCGCACGUAGGCGGCUUUGUAAGUUAGAGGUGAAAGCCCGGGGCUCAACUCCGGAAUUGCCUUUAAGACUGCAUCGCUAGAAUUGUGGAGAGGUAAGUGGAAUUCCGAGUGUAGAGGUGAAAUUCGUAGAUAUUCGGAGGAACACCAGUGGCGAAGGCGGCUUACUGGUCCAUUACUGACGCUGAGGUGCGAAAGCGUGGGGAGCAAACAGG
rnacentral:rRNA from 1 species